CGUCGCAUCGCUUGAAUCACAAUGCAAGUAGUUCGCAACGGUGUCCGAAAUGAUGUGAACAGCAGUCUUCACUGCAUCUACUGCUUUGCACACUCAUCGCGGCCAAGUUUAUU
rnacentral:rRNA from 12 species